UAGACUCGGGUGAAAUUCCUUUCUCCCAUUUAUUAUAUAUAUGUGCAGGGAACAGCUAGCCUUUGACCUCUAUUUGAAUCCCAUUGUGUCAACUACUUCUGAUUGGUUGGUAUUGGCACAAUUUGUCUCUUACUUUGUUGCACCAACUUACCGCGUAUAAGAGGCUCUAAAUGGGAUCACAUAGGACAAUCUGUUUACAACCCUGUUUGAGCCUACAACUCCUUAUAAAAACUCAGAUUUUCCUCGUUCCAAAGUCUUUGGUUCCAGACUUUUUAAGGUCUAGCCACUGACCACAAAGACACAGUCAGUUCCAGCAACAAUGCCAGCCAGACAACACCACCUUACAUUGAGACUUACCAACUUAGUCCAAUAGCAUUAUAGCAGUCUCCAUCUACAUCGUCAACAUCAUCUUUCUACACAGCUCAGCAAGCGAUUCACCCACAUUCCAACACAAUUCCCCUUUAUUGUAUCAGCCGUACGAUGUGGUACUAAAGAGCCAUUCUCGUCACCUUACAUCGCACGGCCCUUACACACUGAUACAGUGUAAUCUUUAUCUAUCGUCAGCAAUAUCAACCGUACUAUGAUACUGGAGGCAUAAGGAUAUAACAUCUGGCGACAAGGAUUUUUCGAAGCUCACUUAGGUAAUUUGAUAAUUUGUGCAUCAUACAAAUUGCUAAAUUAUGGAGAAUCUAUUAGCUGCAGUAAUACAGCUUCAAGAGAAGCAACAGGAACAACUACAGGUGUUACAGAAGCAAAUAUUACAACAACAGUUAAUUGAGUUACAGUCAAGGAAGUGCGAAAAUUCGGUAAGUUCGUUUACGUUAGACAGCGUGACAAACUCGAUUUCUAGUCAGAUGAGGAAAAAGUAAGGCUAUUACUACACAUGGUAGCUCUGGCUGAGCAUGAAUGCUACUGUAACUUUUUAUUACCCAAAAUGUCGAGUGAGACUGGUUUCCAAGAAACGAUUGAAUUACUAUCAAAAAUCUUUUGUGACAAAAGUUCGUUAUUUAACAUUUGAAUGGAGUGUUGAAACUUAACAAAAAAUGACGAUAAUGACUUUAUUACUUAUGCCAGAGCAGUCAACCAUAUGUGUGAAAACUUUAAACUUCAGGAACUCGCUCAGGAUAUGUUUAAAUCUCUUAUCUUCAUACAAGGCCUUAUGGCAACCGAAGAUAGAGAAAUUUGGGCAAAGAUUCUCUCAAAAAUAGAGCAAGCAAACCAAGACUUAAUCCUACAGACCGUUGCAGAAGAAUGUCAAAUAAUGGUUAACCUGAAGCACGACAUGAAAAAAUUCAAGAGAAAGAUUCCGCAGAUGUGUCAACCCGGAAAGUACAACCAAAAAAGAGUGCCAGGCCCCAAUCCAUGUUACAGAUGUGGAGGCCUACACAUCAGAAAAGAGUGUCUGUUUAAAAGUUGAAAAUGCUAUAGUUGUCAGAAACUUGGUCACAAGAGUUCACACUUCAGGACAAGAUUAUGAAGGUUGAAUGCAAAAAGUUCUAAAGUGUUUUCAGCAGAAAGUGAAUGCGACACAAAAACAAGAAAAUUCGUACACAUAAAAAUGAAUGGUGUAAAUAUUAAACAGCAGUUUGAUAUGGGUAGUGAUAUUUCAAUCAUAAAUGCGGGUACAAGGAGAAAAAUUGGGAAACCGAGGUUACGUAAAACAGCAAAAAUUGCACUUGGUGUGAUGGGUGAUAAAUUACAUUUCAUGGACAUCACAUUUCAAGGAGAAACACAUGAAGCAAAAAUAUUCAUUGUGGAGAAUACAAUCAAUCCGUAUGAUACAAAUUGGUUGGAGUUAUUUGGCACUUCCCCAUAAGUCUCUACUGCAAAAACAUAAAUGGUUGUCUAGUUAAAAAUAAAUCAUUUGAGGAAUUGAAGAGAAAAUUGAAAAAAAUGUUUCCUCAAGUACUAUCAGAGGACUUAGGUCUAUGUAAAAAGACUGAAGCCUGCUUUCAAGUAACUGAAAAUGCUGUACCUGUAUUUAAAUCUAACAGAAAAAUACCGUUCGUGGCAAUUGAAAUUAUAAAUGAAGAGUUGGACAGACUGAAAAUUGGGAGGCGCCAACGGUGUGCAUUAAAAAGAAAAAUUAUAAGAUUUCUCUACAAGAUCGAACGAUUGCUUAAAGACAUGCCACCAUCCACUCCCGACUCCAAAGUCGGGAUUUUGCAAUCCCUUAUUUGGAUGAUAUAUUAAGAGUAAUUCGUGUGAACAGCAUGUGGAACACAUAAAAGCUGUGUUCAAGAAAAUUAAAGAGUACAGGUUCACUUUGAGUGAAGAAAAGUGCAAAUUGUUUUUGCCUCAAAUUAAUUAUUUUGGGCAAAUAGUUGAUAAAAAUGGUAGUCAGCCUGACCCAUCAAGGGGAGACGCAAUGAAGAAUAUACUUGCUCCGACAAAUAUACCAACAUUACAAGCGUUUCUUGGGUUGACAAACUUCUACCAAAACUACAUUCCUAACAUGCACAAAUUAAAAGCUCCAUUGAAUGACUUAAUAAAAAGGGAAGUAAAGUGGAAUUGGUCAGUUAAAUGUCAAAACGUGUUUGAAGAAAUAACAAAAAUUCUAAUUGCAGAUUUGUCUCUAGUGCAUUUCAAUCCUGAAAUGGACAUUGUUGUAGCAUCUGAUGCUUUGGAGUACAGAAUAGGAGCAGUUUUGCUACACAAGUAUAAGGAUAGAAGUACAAAACCAGUGAUUCAUGUUUCAUGCUCACUGAUAGUGGCAGAGAAAAAAUACAGUCAGAUAGAAAAAAGAAACCCUAUCGACCAUUGCUAUCAAUUUAUGGAUCAAAGAAAGAGUUAUCUACCCAUACAGCGAACUGACUACAAUGUUGGGGUAUAAUAAUUACUAAAUUACAAUUUCAAAAUGCAGUAUAUUCCAUCGAAAAAAGUUGGUCAUUUCGACUGUCUAUUGAGACUAAUUCCCAAAAAUACAGAACCACUAGAAGAUACCAUGAUAGCUGCACCACAGACAGAAAAUGAAACAAAAAGUACUAUAACUAAUGUUAUCCAAGAACUGCCAGUGACUGCACAGGAUAUAAGAAUGAAAUCUGUAGACGACGAGUACAUAAACAAAAAUGAAAGAAGCUUUAAAAAAUAAGCAGAAUAAAAAUACAAAUUCAAGUAGUUUCUCAAUAGGCAACGAUAUUCUGAUGUAUGUACAAGGAAUUGUAGUACCGACUACAUUACAAAAAUGUGUGUUGCAGCACUUCCACAGAUCAGACAUCUGGAAAUAUCGAGGAUGAAAGCACCGAUGAGCUACAUUUAUUGGCCGACUAUGGACUGGGAUAUCGAAAAUUUGGUGAGAACUUGUUGAGGUUGCAUGCUCGUGGCCAAAGCCCUACCAGUAAAAUAUCAAUCAUGGCUAGAGACUGAGAACCUAUGGUCUAGGUUACAUAUCAACUAUGACAGACCGGUGAAUGGUACUUACUUUCUAAUCAUGGUAGAUAGCUGUACAAAGUGGCCAGAGGUAUGCAGGUGCAAUAAACCAACCACUAAGACAACUAUAAAGUUCCUAUAUGAAUUGUUUGCGUGAUACAGUGUUCCAGACAUGUUAGUUUCUGAUAAUGGAACACAAUUCUCGACAGAGGGGUACCACCUUGGUGUACUAUUAUAGAGGGCUGGUACAGGGCAAGUGUGAUGACAGCCUGGGGGAGACUCUGGGUUUCGAUGAAAGUCAGCUUGCCAACCUGCAUUGAAGGACUUUCGGCCCAGGACCUAUGGACAACUGCCAGAGGUCCCCAGCUUGACUGUGCUUCCAAAGUGCCUUGUCAGUUCUGGAUAAACUUGUGAGGCACAGCGUCACCUUUUGCCUACAUGCCCACAUUACGGACAGAGCAAUGAAACUGUUCUGUACGCAAUUGUACAGUUUAUGAGUCUCUCGGACCUGUGGGUUUCUACCGACCUAUAGCGAAAGAGGUGAUAUGGAAGAGGUAUUGUAUCAGGCACCUUCGUCUCCGGGCAUGCUUUGGUCAACCUCUUUUUAUAUCACCUAAGAGGGAAAGCAUGUCUGGAGAAGAAAUGCCUGACGGCAAAAAAGUACGAAAGAAGAUGGAAGAAAGUAGCCCCAAUGUUGGGUAUGUAAGUGCCAAAUUAAGUAGAGCAUAAAAAAAAAAGGGUAAAGUAAAUGGUUCAAUACAGGAAUGUGGUUGGUGGGGUCAAACCCAUUCCACGUCCAUUCAUUUUUUGUUUCCCAUUGCUCAUCCAAAAUUAUAAUAUAUUUAUUCAUGUAAUAUCAUACAAUAAGUCUCCGACCCCAUUUGUCCCUUGUAUUGUCCCCUCUGUUUAACCCUUGUGGUUUUAAUAAAAUCAUCAUAGUUUGGUCAUCGUCUUGUUGAUAGUUGUUGAACUGCUGUCUUUGCGCAGAACACAUGUUUGCCGUCUUGUGGUAUUCUUCGACAUCUUCCCUCUUCUUUGAUAGGGGAAAGUCAUAGGUUCAUACCUUCAUGAUGGAAUACAAAGGUUUGAGUUCUUCUUAUUUAGACUUUAUGUCAUCUGAGGAAGAGCUGGUUAAAUGUCUGAAGAGAAUAGACGAAGCAAUGGAGGUGAAGAAUUAUACAGAGGCAGUGAAAGAGAAAAGCGAAAAGAAAUGCCAAAGAAAUUUUAAAAGAAAAAAAUGAAAAAAACAAUAUUCACAGGACAAUAUUCAUAGGCGCAGGAGUGGCUGUGUGGUAAGUAGCUUGCUUACCAACCACAUGGUUCCGGGUUCAGUCCCACUGCGUGGCACCUUGGGCAAGUGUCUUCUACUAUAGCUUCAGGCCGACCAAAGCCUUGUGAGUGAAUUUGGUAGACGGAAACUGAAAGAAGACCGUCGUAUAUAUGUAUAUGUAUAUAUAUGUGUGUGUGUUUGUGUGUCUGUAUUUGUCACCCUAACAUCGCUUGACAACUGAUGCUGGUGUGCUUACGUCCCCGUAACUUAGCGGUUCGGCAAAAGAGACCAAGAGAAUUUUUACUAGGCUUACAAAGAAUAAGUCCUGGGGUCAAUUUGCUCGACUAAAGGCGGUGCUCCAGCAUGGCCGCAGUCAAAUGACUGAAACAAGUAAAAGAGGACAUACUCAUCAACAACAAGGAAAAUUGAAAUCAUGUUGACCGCUCAAGUCAUUAUUAAAACCAAUCUGGUAAGGGAUUUUUUACCUUGCCAGGGGAAGAAAGUUUGGAACGGUGGAGGUGCAGUUCCAGGAGGUAGCUAUUGCUAGGCUGCACUCAGCAAUACCCUUAAAAAUGGAUGAAGUCGUGCUUCUACCCAUAUACUUUGGGAGACAUGCUUCCAGAGUUGGGGUAGAAGACAUACCCCCAAAAAUUGAUAUAGCCUGGCUAGCAGCUGCCAAUACUGCUGGGCACGGAAGAGAAGAUAGUGGUCCUCCAGUCCACCAGAACACCCCAUAAGAACUGGCUAGGGCAGAGCCUAGAUAUGAUAAUCCAGGCGGCUCUGGAAAACCUUGAAAACAUGGUUGAGACCAUCACAGUCAAAGAGGUGAUACUCAGGGUCAAAGUAGAAGGCAGGAUCCCACAGACUAAAGAGGAACCCGAAAUCAGGAAGGAAAUUGCAACUUCAACACUGACAAAAACCAGUACCAGCGCCGAGGAAGAGGAGGUGAACAAGGAAAAGAAUGGAUGGGAAAUGACUGGAAAAAAAAGAAGGGAAGGGAAAAAGCAUACUUUGUAAAUGAUGACUCCCAUCCCACACCCACCUGCCUCCCACCCACACCCACUCUACCCCAACCUCCCCCUACAGACACCAACCCUCUCCAUGCCCCACCUGAUACAAAGACAAGCACAAGCACACAGGAGCCCCAAACUUCCCCACCCUUGCCCUGUAAGAAAAAAUAUGUUAUACUGUACAACAGACAAAAUGAAAAACUUCAUAAUAAGAUAGACUCAUGGGACAAAGUGGUAAAAGUGAAUAUAACGGAAUUUAGGGGAUUGCCUGAGUACUUUCAGUGUGCGAUGGCAGAUCCAGAGUAUCUUUUGAGAGUAAAGAAUUAUGAGAAGGACUUUGAGUGGUGGGUCAAGAAAAUAGACACCAGCACAAUACCAGAACGGGUUCAAUAACUAAAGUACCACUUUUGAGUCCAUUUCUCUUCUCUCGUUAUUUUUCACUUUCGUCCUGGAAGAAAUUGGUUUUGUUCAUAAAAUGGCAAGAGGGAUGAUAGACUCCAGCAAGUUUUAAAAUGCCCAAGUAUGUCACAAUGGUAACCCUCAUAACUCCAUUAGGAAAUGAGAAAAGGACGAAUUGUGUUGUGAGAAUAAUUUAUUUAUAAUAUCCUUAUUAGUGUUAACACAUUAUCUUAAAGAUAGUUCAUUAGCACAAAUAAAAUUUUGUAUGUGGA